rnacentral:rRNA from 1 species
CUCCGGUUGAUCCCGCCGGACCCGACUGCUAUCAGAGUGGGACUAAGCCAUGCGAGUCAACAUAGCAAUAUGUGGCAUACGGCUCAGUAACACGUAGUCAACAUGCCCAGGGGACGUGGAUAACCUCGGGAAACUGAGGAUAAACCGCGAUAGGUCAUCACUUCUGGAAUGGGUAAUGACUUAAAUCUAUAUGGCCCCUGGAUUGGACUGCGGCCGAUCAGGCUGUUGGUGAGGUAAUGGCCCACCAAACCUGUAACCGGUACGGGCUCUGAGAGGAGGAGCCCGGAGAUGGGCACUGAGACAAGGGCCCAGGCCCUAUGGGGCGCAGCAGGCGCGAAACCUCUGCAAUAGGCGAAAGCUUGACAGGGUUACUCUGAGUGAUUUCCGUUAAGGAGAUCUUUUGGCACCUCUAAAAAUGGUGCAGAAUAAGGGGUGGGCAAGUCUGGUGUCAGCCGCCGCGGUAAUACCAGCACCCCGAGUGGUCGGGACGUUUAUUGGGCCUAAAGCAUCCGUAGCCGGUUCUACAAGUCUUCCGUUAAAUCCACCUGCUUAACAGAUGGGCUGCGGAAGAUACUAUAGAGCUAGGAGGCGGGAGAGGCAAGCGGUACUCGAUGGGUAGGGGUAAAAUCCGUUGAUCCAUUGAAGACCACCAGUGGCGAAGGCGGCUUGCCAGAACGCGCUCGACGGUGAGGGAUGAAAGCUGGGGGAGCAAACCGGAUUAGAUACCCGGGUAGUCCCAGCUGUAAACGAUGCAGACUCGGUGAUGAGUUGGCUUAUUGCUAACUCAGUGCCGCAGGGAAGCCGUUAAGUUUGCCGCCUGGGGAGUACGGUCGCAAGACUGAAACUUAAAGGAUUGGCGGGGGAGCA